rnacentral:tRNA from 1 species
GCCAGCGUAGCUCAGUUGGUAGAGCAUCUGAUUUGUAAUCAGGCGGUCAUGGGUUCGAGUCCCUUCGCUGGCUCCA